GAUGAACGCUGGCGGCGUGCUUAACACAUGCAAGUCGAACGAUGAAGCCCAGCUUGCUGGGUGGAUUAGUGGCGAACGGGUGAGUAACACGUGAGUAACCUGCCCUUAACUCUGCGAUAAGCCUGGGAAACUGGGUCUAAUACCGGAUAGGAGCGUCCACCGCAUGGUGGGUGUUGGAAAGAUUUAUCGGUUUUGGAUGGACUCGCGGCCUAUCAGCUUGUUGGUGAGGUAAUGGCUCACCAAGGCGACGACGGGUAGCCGGCCUGAGAGGGUGACCGGCCACACUGGGACUGAGACACGGCCCAGACUCCUACGGGAGGCAGCAGUGGGGAAUAUUGCACAAUGGGCGCAAGCCUGAUGCAGCGACGCCGCGUGAGGGAUGACGGCCUUCGGGUUGUAAACCUCUUUCAGUAGGGAAGAAGCGAAAGUGACGGUACCUGCAGAAGAAGCACCGGCUAACUACGUG
rnacentral:rRNA from 1 species